CCUACGGGUGGCAGCAGUGAGGAAUAUUGGUCAAUGGACGAGAGUCUGAACCAGCCAAGUAGCGUGAAGGAUGACUGCCCUAUGGGUUGUAAACUUCUUUUAUACAGGAAUAAAACGAGGCACGUGUGCCUUUUUGCAUGUACUUUAUGAAUAAGGAUCGGCUAACUCCGUGCCAGCAGCCGCGGUAAUACGGAGGAUCCGAGCGUUAUCCGGAUUUAUUGGGUUUAAAGGGUGCGUAGAUGGGUGGGUAAGUCAGUGGUGAAAGUAUGCGGCUCAACUGCGGAAUUGAAAGUGAUACUGUGAGGAGAGAGAUUAGUUGAGGGAGGCGGAAGGUAUGGUGUAGCGGUGAAAUGCUUAGAGAGCAUACAGAACACAGAUUGCGAAGGCAGCUUACGAAGCUACUUCUGACGUUGAUGCUCGAAAGUGUGGGGAGCAAACAGGAGUAGAGACCCCAGUAGUC
rnacentral:rRNA from 1 species